AUACCCUCUUAAAUUUGUGGGAAAUAUGCGUGUACAUCCUAUUUCAUUUUUAGAAAUAUAACUACAGUGAUCCGGUCACUUAGGUCUUCUCUCGAACAUGUGAUAUCCAUUUCACAGAUGGUGACGGAGAGAACUCCGUUGGAAUUCGUUUAGUUCUUUACUAAAUGUCCUUCCUGCAAAACCAAAUUCAUACACAACCCAUUGAUAUCUAACAAACUAGGACCUUAAGCAUUCAUCAAUUUCACUCUCAAUCAAACUAAUCUCUUCUCCACUGGUUCUAUGUGGUUAUAGGGUUUCCUUUUUCAUCCACUGUAUAUUUAAAAUGGUUGGGGCUAAACGAAAUCUUCUGCAACGAUUGAACAAAAAACAGAAGCAGAUCAAAGAACAUGUUCCUGAACUUGAUCCCAGGUAAUUGGGCGUUUAUGCAAUUGGGUCAUGGUGAAAUUGAAGACUGCAUCUCAACAAAUUUUGGAAAUUUUAGUGUAUUUUAGUUCAAUAAAUUUUGGAAAGUUUGAUGUGUUAAGACUUAAGAAGGAAACAAAUUGAGGAUUGUGAAACAGGGUUCAAAUUGUGUUUUCCUGGGUGAUCGUCGUUUUGCUGUUGAUUGUAAAAUUAGUUUUGCUGCCGACAGUCGAACGUGGGAGAUGAUGAAGAUCUUGAUUAGAAAGGAAAGGAAUAAUGAAGACUAAAAGUCUACGUUAAUAUGAUAUCAUUAUUUUUAGGUGUGAGGGUAUUUAGGACAGUUCACUAAAAAUGGUUUUUGUUUUUGCCACAUAUGCACAGGUGCUGACUCAGCUAACCAAGAAAUGGAUGGAAAAAUUAACGAUGUGAGGAAACAUUAAUUUGGAUAUAUUUGGGGAGGAAACGCUAAAUAGCGAUCUUGGGAGGGGAGGAAACACAAAAUAGCCCUAGAAUCAAUUUGAAUGUUGAGGUGCAUAAUUAUUGUUUUAUUAAAUCACUAAUAUCGACCAAUGGUGGAAUCCUAGCCCCAAUCUCUCCAUAAUUUUCACAACACCUUUUUAUCUGAGUUUGUUAAUUUUAUUUA